GACCCGUUAGCUCAACUGGCAGAGCAUCGGACUCUUAAUCCGAGGGUUGUGGGUUCGACUCCCACACGGGUCA
rnacentral:tRNA from 1 species